GGACGCAGCUGAGGGGUGGGGGUGGGACGAGGCCUUAGGGUCUGGGCCAAGGGAGGGGGAAACUUGUAAGGAAUUACCCUGAGAGGAAGGGGGUCCAGCACUCACAACUAAAUGACAGAAUACCUUCCCUCUAAGAGGUUUCCCUGACUCUCUAAUAGGCUUCCUUCCUGCCUGGGACUGAUCCUUUAGAGGACCAUGGAGGGGCCACAAGGGAGAAGGGGACUUUGGAGAGUCAAGGGGGGGGACCAGGUAGCCGUGGGACAGUCAGAGGGGUACCGGGGUGGGAUUAGCCCAAGGUAGGAAGAGGAGUGAGGAUGAGAAAGGCCUAGGACCCUGCUCACAAAGAAACAGAGCCCCCAGCCUGGGUGCACCUACCAGUCUGCCGCGGCCCCGUCCCUCCUUUCAGGCAAGCCUCCUUGCAGCCCUCAUCCUCCCUCAGCCCCAGACGGACGCCUUCUGGGCUGGAAUCCAUCCCCCUACUCUAUCCUGUUGUCUGUGACCUCAGUGCUGACAUCACAGCCACCCAGCUUCUUCAGGAAGUCUUGGAGCUUAGGAAUUCCCUUCAAGCCUUCUGUCUUCAGGAUGAGGAUCUCAGUGAGAUUACAAAGCAUUCUGGGAAGUGGCCAAGGACUUCUGAGGAUUGGAGUCCAGAGUUCAAAUCUCCAUUUUUACAAGAGUCAAAAAUACCAACUAUUGUGAACAUAAACUGUAUAUAUCUUGUAUAUAUUUAAAUAUUUAUAUAUUAUCUCCCCAACCCAAUCCUCAAAUGUAUGCCCCUUGAGGGUAGGAAUUCUUUUUGACUUUCUUGGUAUUUGCAGAGUUUAGCACAGUUACCUGGCACAUAAGUAAGUCCUUUUAAAUGCUUAUUGACUAACUGGAUGAAUCAAAGUCAUAGGAUUAUGUUUCAUGUAAAAGAGUGACUUGGGGGGGGUCAUUUAGGCCAAACUUCUCAUUUGGGGGGAGCAUAGCACCCCUAGAAAUCACUCCAAUGAGCAGACAGGAGACUUGGAUAAGAUGGUGACAGGAAGAAGCUUUUAUUAGAGAAAGAGCAGACAACAGGGAAUAUUGCUGGUUUUAUCUCAGCCAUGUCCAUUGGCUUAUAAGAAGAAUUCGUAUUUUAUAGGAAAUCUCUACAAUGGUGCCUUGAGUUACCAUCACCUGUUUAUGACUCUUUGGUUUCUUAUCUGACAUAUUCCUUUACCCCUUUUUGAUUCCAGGCUCUCUUUGAAUGAUGAGAGCAUUUCUCAAAUUAACACUCUCUGUGUUUUAGUCUUAAUUCAGGAAUGUGCAAGGCCAGAGCCACAGGCUUUCCAAAAAUUUUCUAGAUAGAGAAUUUACUGUAUCUUCUAGUCUCCAUGGCCUCCUCAUUGGACUUUGUAUUGUAAUUUCCCACAGAACUUCCCUUGAAAUGCUUCUUGCCAGUCAAUUGAGCAUCAAUAACAAAGAAAAGGAAAUGUGUUUAGCUACUUUGAAAGAAGUAGUUAGGCAAUAAGAAGGGGCUUGGAUGGGGGAAGGUGCUUGUUAUGUAGAGAUAGGCUUCUUUUCUCUCUUCCCUGAAAGGCCAAACUGAGUUGAUCUAUAUAGGAGAGUUACAGGGAUAAUUGAUCAGAAAUUAUUCCUACCACACUUAAUCCUAAUGCUAACCAUAAUUAUCUAAAUGCUUUACCAUGGUCUUCAAAAGACUUUAUUUCCUUCUCAUACAUUCUAAUUAAAAUUAGUUUAUGUCUCCCUUUUAACAUUUGAUUUAUUUUUCUCUCUGAGAACACUCAGGACUCUGUAGCUUGUUCCUCCUUCUUGGUAAGAGGGAGAGAUGAAAUAAGCAAUUGCUUAAACUUCCUUAAUCUCUAAUGAUCCACUUUCUUUCCCUUUAAACCUCUGCUAAAAGCAGAAUCACAUUCAACAUCUUCCUGCACAUAUCUACUUACAUUGUUCAUACAACAUGUCUGUCUUCUGGUUCUCAUAAAGAGGCCCCAUAUUCUAUUAGUCUCCUACAUUUAUGUCUUUCAUAUGCUUAUUCCACACCUUUCUCUCACCUUCCACCAGGUAUCCUGUCACAUGUUUUUAUCAAUCUCUUUAUCAAUUUCAUCAUCAAUUACAUACAUCAUUAUAUCUUUAAAUAUUGUCUUAUCCAAUUCACCUCAAAGAUUAUUUUAUUUCACAGGACAAAUUCAUAAAUCAUUUAUGUUUACCCAAAAUUUCAUUCUACAGGCAAAUAGAUUACAUCUAAAUCCAUAGUUACAUUCAGCAAUAAAAUCUUUUUUACCAAGGCACAUAUUUUGGCAACAAUUCAUAUAUCCCAAUUGAUUACAAUAUAUGUUUACAAAUUCUGAAAUUCUUUAGCAAUAUUCCAGACUCUUUACACAGAUUCCAUUCAAAUUUCCAAAUCUGAAAACUUCGCCUUCCCUAGUAUUCAUUACAUUUUUCUUGUUGCUUAAUUCAACAGUGUAUAUACUGAAAUAACAUUUUCACAUUCUCAUUUGUCAACCCCAAAUUUAGAUCAUACUGAAUUUUCUUCAUAUUAUAUCACUUCUUCUAAACUUUUACUACAUUCUUAAGCACUCUAUACUUAUUUUAUUGAACCCUUAUAUUCAUUUAACAGCCAGCACGUAUUAGGAAUUUUCUUCUUAUCUGCUUCUUUAAAUGAAAAACUUUCUGCAUUAGACUGGUUACUAAUUACAUUCAGUCGAUUUCCAAAUUCAGUUAACUCAAAUAAUAAACAUUUUAGUUAUGUUCAAAGAUUGAAAACUCUAAUCAUUGUGUCAUUUCAAGUCUCAGUGAGAACUAAUAGUUCUCUCAUCAUUAAGUACAAAAUCAAACUUAUCUGGAAUCCACAACUGAUAGAUAAUUUUCCAGCCCUGAAUCACUUUACAAUCAUUUCAUGUAAUUCCACAGGUACAUUUUAGAAUCAUUUGUGAUUUUCAAAAAUUAUAUACAUCAACCUUAAAAUCAAGACCAUUAAAAAAAAUCCAUUCAAACUGUGGGAUUAAAACCUUCCUUCUUUUGUUCUGAUUUUCUCUCUACCCAAUUGGUGGCCAGCUGAAAAAAGGGCAGGAGAAAAAUGUUGAACAGAUGUUUUUGCCUUUGUCCUCUAUUAAGAGUAGAAGACAAAGUUCCUUUUUUUACUUAGAUGAUCUUAAAGUUUAAGAGGUCUAAAAAUUCACGUUUCUUCUUGAAUCCCUCAAAUACAUUCUCUGUUCUGUCUACUCUCCCAUUUCCUGGAAUGAAAGGCUGACAAAGAGAAACAGAUUUACCUCAAAAUCACUAAAUGGUUUCUUUUCCCAACCCCCUUUUGUGUGUACACAUAACACAGGGUCACAAACAACAAAAACAGACAAGAAACAGUUAACAUGAACUUUGAAAGCAUGCUUCAAAAUCAGUGUUCCCUGGGAUUAUCUACUUUAUUUACUUAUUCUUUGCCCUCCCAAGGAAGGGAAGAGUUUGUCAGUCAGCUUCUAAAGCUUGUAAAAGUCUUAUCUGUUAUGGGGGUGCAGAUGUGUACCCCUGGGGUUUGGAAAGGAUACCUUUUGCAAGAAUGCAAGACUCCAAAACUUAAAUUAAAAACAAAAAGAGAAAUUUAUUGAUUUAGGAGGUAAUGUUGAGAAUGGCCAGGAGGAUAGCAAGGUGGAACAGCAAGAUGGGGAGCAGUUCCUUGGGAGGACAGUAUGAAUGGAAAAGCUAUUCCCCCUGAUGACAUCAGUUCUGGGGAUUGUAUACUUUUCACAACAGAGAGUGUUAGUCACCCAGGCAUUUGGUGAGGUGGGGUGAUCAUCUGCCUGGGGACAUAAAGAUUCCUUAGUUUUAGGGAACAAACAGAUGUCUGACUUGUAGCCUGAAGGUGCAUCUUUCUGUCCAUCUUAAAUCUAGAGGACAAUCAAAGGAAGAUAGUCAUCUCAUGACCCUAGAGGGGUCAUUGCUCAGAGUCAAGAGGAUGUAAGGGAGCAAGGGAAUUUCCCUGAUAAUAGUUCACCUGUGUUUCUGGGGGUACAGUGCCUAUGUCAGUUUCAAAGUCAGUGUAUUCACCUUAAGUCAUGAAGUGUUCAAAAAGCCUUCAGCCAUGUCUCAGCAGAAAAUUUCACUGAUCUCUUUGCCAGCUGUUCUGGCUUCAGCAAGUCAGCUCACUGUCCCUUUAUGUGGCUGGACUGAUUACAACCAUAGUUUGUAGAAAAGAUAUUUCUCUUCUCUUCUUCAGUGGUUUCUCUCUCUUAUUCUGCAUUUCCCUUCUUAUUUUUUCUCUCACUGUCUGUCUCAAUCUAGUAUAUUAAUUUUGCAUUUAACCUCUUCUGCUCUGACUGAGGUGUAAAUUUUAAAAAAAUCUCCAUCUUGCUUGGUCUAAUACCCAGGAUUGUGCACACCCACACUACAUGGGCAUGUGCUAGUCAAUGACAAAUCAGAAAUAACUAACUGCCCACCUGGGCUGUCCUAAACCAAGCUUGAGCCACCAUUGGCACUUGUGAGGCACAGGAAGUGAGGUAGGGAACAGCCUCGGGAAUUCGCUCACUUCCUGUGAACAGAGCUAGGCGGCAGUGGGUGCUAGGAGCUCCAGCAGAGAGGAGGCCUGCAGACAGCUUUCCUUCAGAUUGGUCACGUGAGUCAAGGACUGAUUCUCUUCUCUACCUUGACCUUUUUGGGCCUAAAACUCCGGCUCUGCCAGAAGGUUGAGUUAACCUUUUCCCCUUUCUCCUUUCUCCUUCUCUCCCUCUCCCUUUCCCUUUUCUUACUCCCGUUGUGAUUAAACCACCAUAACUCCAUUCUGACUUGAGUGUUUCAUUUUAGGAAUUUCAUAAGUAAAUUCCUUGGUGACCAUAAAUUAAUAUUAUAAACAAUCUUUAAAGGUGAUUUACACCGUAACAGAGGUUUUCUCAAAAUUUGGGUUAUAACUCUGGUCAGUUCUUUUAUUGCUAUUAUCUUCUCUUUCCAAAUAUAUAUAUAUAUAUAUUUGGAGGAACUUCUCUAGAGGUUUAAUGGCUCAUCCAUCUAGGCUUCCAAUUUUAUUGCCAAUGCCUGGCCAUGAAUUAUUUAUAAAACAUUUGUGAAUUUCUUCAUGGGAUCAUUCAUAUAGAGUCUAAGGUAUCUUUUAAAUCUCUCAGCUGGUUCUGAGAAAUUGGAUGGUCUUUUCUCUCUUAUUUAGCUUACCAAUUUCAAUGCUCAACUGACUCUAUUCCCUGUUCUCUCUCUUAUUUGGAAAAAUCCUCUUUCAAGUGGUCUUUUUUCCCCCCACAGUUUCCACAGUAAUCACAUAUAACCUCUGGAGGCAUUCCAAAAUGAUUGUUCCCUCAUUCUUUCUUAGAAAUCUGUCCAUUCUUAAUCCAUAAUUCCUGCUGUAGCUCCUUUUUCACUAAUACCUCUUGAGUUUUCUGUAAGAGCUCUUUUAAUGGAUUAUUCAUCCAACUUUCUACUUUCUGGAGCUUUCUACUACUAUCUGGAUAAGGAUUCGCAUUUACAUCUAAACCAGAGUUCAGAAAAUCAGUGGGGGCUUCAUCUUUCUCCUGUUUGGCUUCAUGAACCUUAUUCAAGUGUUGAUUCUGGGGCACAUCUGUUCUCAUGCCCUGAAUAAUAUUCUCUUGAGGAACUGGAGUGUUCUGUUUCUAAGGGGAGCAUUCCUGCUCAUUCUCUCUCUCUGCUUCUGGGGACCUUCCAUUUCUCCCUCAGAGCCAUGUAGGGAGUUACUAGUGAAUUCAAUCACUAAUUCAAUUCUCCACCUGAAUGGUACUACUCUCCUGUCCAGACAUUGCUUCAUCACUUCACCUAAGUAUGGUGGGAUGGCAGGAGGAGGUGGGGUUUCAAGUGGAACCAAUAACUUUCUCUCUCUGUAUAGAAUUCUGAAUUCUUCUUAUCCUUCUGCAUGUCUGUUCCGUUCACUGCUUCUGCAGUUUUAUUCUUGUUUCCUCUUGCUCUAUUCAUCUUGCACUGCUUCUGUCCCAUUUUUCUCUAAAUGUUAUGAGGUUCAGAUGUGUACCCCUGGGGUUUGGGAAGGAUACCUUUUACAAGAAUGCAAGACUCCAAAACUUAAAUUAAAAACAAAAAGAGAAAUUUAUUAAUUUAGAAAGUAAUGUUGAGAAUGGCCAGGAGGAUAGUAAGGUGGAACAGCAAGAUGGGGAGCAGUUCCUUGGGAGGACAGCAUGAAAGGAAAGGCUGUUCCCUGUGAGGACAGCAUGGAUUGAAAAGCUGUCCCCCAAAGGGAUUUUAUACCCUUUACAAUAGAUGCUGUGUCAUUUGGUGGGGUGGGGUAGUCAUCUGACUGGGGUCUGCCUGGAGGCAUAAAGAUUCAUCUCUGUCCAUCUUAAAUCUAGAGGACAAUCAAAGAGGAUAAACAUCUCAGGAUGCAAGGGAGCAAGGGAGUUUCCCUGAUAAUAGUACCCCUGGGUUUCUGGAGGUAUGGUGCCCAUGUCAUAAAGCUUAAUUUCUAAUUGUCCACAAAAUUCAGGGUUUUUAUUAAACCCUGAAAACUUCCAUACUUCCAUAGUCUGUUCUCUGUCCCAAUCUAUGUCUUUUCUUGGCCAACUGCCCAGAAACCUAUUUAUUGUUCGAAAAAAUGCUUUAUUUGUUUCCCAGGAGUCAAGUCUAUUGUGCCUCCAAAUUGUUUUCCACCCUGAAAACUGUACCUAAGUAUGACAAUACCCAGGUUUCCAAUAAGGUUCCAGCUCAGAUUAACUAAUAAUACUUGCUAGAUCUCUAUUCAAAGUGCUGGAAGCAGAGGAGUCUCCCAUCCAGACACCAACAGCUCCUGUUACAAAAUCAUACUUGCUAUUUGAUGGGAACAGAAGAGACUGGACAUCCUUUUCACAGGUUUUUACUGCAGACUUAGCUGAAAGGCUCUUUUCCAGCCAGGAUACUCACCUUCUUUUUCCUGGGGAAUCUUUUUGGGCCUAAUUCCUUGAACUAGAAGCUCUCUCUUUCUCUGACAUCUCUUUUUCUUAGUCACACACACACACACACACACACACACACACACAAGAAUGAUACUGCUUUCUACUCAGCCACUUUUCUCUGAUCUUCGUUCACAUCAGCUUAAAGAAAGUGGGGUGUGUUUUCACACUAUCUCUGAUACAAACAGAAGGUCUCCUUAAAUGUAGGCUGGAAUGAUUUCUCUGACAUCUAUCAGGCAUUAUCUGCUUUUUUGCUCUCUGGAUUUUUCAGAAGCAUAUAGAAAACUUCACAUUUGCCCAAAUGAGUAAAGCAAAGCUCUUCUAUCAUUCUAGAAUCCUGAGCUAGCACCCAUCUGUGUGGAGUGGGUUUUUGGGGGACCUAGCAUUGCCAGAAAUCAUUGCCAUUACCUCAGCCAUGUCCAUUGACUUACAAGAAGAAUCCUUAUUUUAUAAGAAAUCUAUACAAUGGUACCUUGAGUUACCAUCACUUGUGUAUAAGUCAUUGGUUUCUUAGCUAACAUUCUCCUUUCCCCCUUUUUGAUUCCAGGCUAUCUUUGAAUGAUGAGAGCAUUUCUCAAAUUAACACUGUUUUAGUCAUAAUUCAGGAAUGUGCAAGGCCAGAGCCACAGGCUUUCCAACAAUUUUCUAGAUAGAAAUUUUACUGCAUUUUCUGGGCUCCAUGGCCUCCUCACUGGACUCUUUGUACUGUAAUUUUCCAUGGGACUUCAUUUUCUUCAUCCUUGAAAUGCUGAUUGCAAGUUAAUUGAGAAUCAAUAACAAAGAAAA